UACGUAGGGUGCAAGCGUUAAUCGGAAUUACUGGGCGUAAAGCGUGCGCAGGCGGUUAUGUAAGACAGAUGUGAAAUGCCCGGGCUUAACCUGGGAACUGCAUUUGUGACUGCAUGGCUAGAGUUUGGCAGAGGGGGGGUAGAAUUCCACGUGUAGCAGUGAAAUGCGUAGAUAUGUGGAGGAACACCGAUGGCGAAGGCAAUCCCCUGGACCUGUACUGACGCUCAUGCACGAAAGCGUGGGGAGCAAACAGG
rnacentral:rRNA from 1 species